GCGACUGCGGAGGACAUUAUUGAGACUUGAACAGGUUGUAGCUGACUCUGAAAGGAGCAUGUGCACGCCUGGCUCAUCCACUCUUUAACCUUUGUGCACUCUUUGCAAGAGCUUGGUAAACAUUGGUCUUUCAUGGCUGGUGAUAUCCUCUCUCUUGUGUUUUUAUCACAAACAUGUCAUGUUGUAGAAUGGUCUUUAUGCAGAUAAUGCAUGUUGAAUAAACAACUUUCAGCAACGGAUCUCUUGGCUCUCGCAUCGAUGAAGAACGCAGCGAAAUGCGAUAAGUAAUGUGAAUUGCAGAAUUCAGUGAAUCAUCGAAUCUUUGAACGCACCUUGCGCUCCUUGGUAUUCCUUGGAGCAUGCCUGUUUGAGUAUCAUGAGACUCUCAACUUGCUACAUUUUUGUAUUGAAGUGUGGCAAGCGUUGGACUUGGAGGUCGUGCUGGUUGCUUCGCUUGAAGCUGACUAGCUCCUCUGAAAUGCAUCAGCAUGAACUUUAAUGUGAAUCAACUUUCAGUGUGAUAAUUUUCUGCGCUGUAGGUUGUGUUAGAUCACCUCUGUUGCUCAUGCUUAGAGUUGUCUCUUUCGAGACUUUAAUUGAUUUCUGAUCUCAAAUCAGGUAGGACUACCCGCUGAACUUAAGCAUAUCAUAA
rnacentral:rRNA from 1 species